UGCCCAGCAACUCCUAUCCCUAUCUCCUCGCGGUACUGGCCGGGGUACGAGUAACCUUAGGGAAGAUCGGGUAUCCAACCCCGGUGGGAACUCUGGUCGUAUGCUGACAGCAAAAGG
rnacentral:ribozyme from 1 species